rnacentral:rRNA from 1 species
UACGAAGGUCCCAAGCGUUGUUCGGAAUCACUGGGCGUAAAGGGUGCGUAGGUGGCGUGGCAAGUCAGAUGUGAAAGCCCGGAGCUCAACUCCGGAACUGCAUCCGAUACUGCCAUGCUAGAGCGCUGAAGAGGUGACUGGAAUUCUCGGUGUAGCAGUGAAAUGCGUGGAUAUCGAGAGGAACACCAAAGGCGAAGGCAAGUCACUGGGCAGUUGCUGACACUGAGGCACGAAGGCCAGGGUAGCGAACGGG